rnacentral:pre_miRNA from 1 species
UAUAACGUUUGACUGGUCGUUUUAUAUGAUUUUUUUAAUUAGUAUUUUUAUUGUUGUUAGAUGAUAAAACAUGAUUAAUACUUUAUGUGUAACUUGUCUUUUUAUUUUUUUUAUAUUUUUUUCAAAUAAAACAGGUGGUUAAAUGUUGGACACGGAAACUUAGG